GUUGGCUGCUGUGAGGAUAAGGAAGAGGUAGUGCCUGGAGGAGCUGCCUAUGAGAAACAUUGGGGAGGUUCAGCUGCUAGAAAACCAACCAAUCAAUCCUUGGGGCAGGGCAUGAAAGGGACAACGUACCCUCAUGGUUGGAAGAAACCAAAGUCAGGUGCAAUCACUAAUUCCCUACAUGGAGGAGAAGGACUUCUGCAGCCCAUUGCUGCAGUAAGAGCUGGCUGCUGUCAAGAUCAGUUUAUUUAUAGCUUGGGUAGUCUCCUCCCCAGCACUUCACUCUUGGAUCCUGUAAAUCCAGCUAAGAAUCAUGCAAGACAGAAGAAUUCAUGAUGGUGUGCUCCUGCUGCUCUGUCCUGCUGCAGCUCCUGGCAGCUUCUCCUGCAAGCCUCCUUGUUUAGAGAAACAAACAGCCAUGGAUUCUGCUCUGCCCUAGUGCCUUCAGGAGGAGCUGGAAGGACUGUCUCUGAGAUGUGGCUGCAUUUGGAUCCCAUGAUUUAUCAGUUGGAAGUACACAGGAAACAAGUUUUUUUUUAAUUGAAGAACCUCAAGAACAGUCCCUUGAUGAGGCCAUCUACAGUAGAGCUUCUGAAAUACAUUUAGGACACCGCCUACUAGUACUUAUUUAUCUGCAAAGAAGGUCCACCUUCUGCUUCUUUGGUUCCUGACCCUUUGCUGGGAAAGUCACACUGAGCAUCAUAGAGUGGCACUACCAGGAAAGGUUAUUUGGAUGCUGAAUAUUGCAGUUCAGCUGUGUGUCCUCUCUGUUUGUUCUGGUUUUGAGGAGUGGAUUUAGAAGUACUUUAACCAGAAGAAAAAAUACAACAAUAAAAACUCUGUAACUGCAAGCAACAGGAACUAAAUGACUGUAAUAGGCAUUCCAAGAAGUCUGCAGAAAUGCUUUGAUCACAAGAACAUUCCCAA